AUUGAACGCUGGCGGCAGGCCUAACACAUGCAAGUCGAGCGGACGAAGGGAGCUUGUUCCUGUAUUCCGCGGCGGACGGGCGAGUAAUGCCUAGGAAUCUGCCCGGUCGUGGGGGAUAACGUCAGGUAACGGGCGCUGAUACCACACCCGCCCAGAGGGAGAACGUGAGGGAUCUUCAGACCACACGCUAUCUGAUGAGCCUUGGACGGAUUAGCUAGUUGGUGGGGUAAAGGCCUACCAAGGCGACGAUCCGUAACUGGUCUGAGAGGAUGAUCAGCCACACUGGAACUGAGACACGGUCCAGACUCCUACGGGAGGCAGCAGUGGGGAAUAUUGGACAAUGGGCGAAAGCCUGAUGCAGCCAUGCCGCGUGUGUGAAGAAGGUCUUCGGAUUGUAAAGCACUUUAAGUUGGGAGGAAGGGCAGUAAGUUAAUACCUUGCUGUUUUGACGUUACCAACAGAAUAAGCACCGGCUAACUUCGUG
rnacentral:rRNA from 1 species